GAUGAACGCUGGCGGCGUGCUUAACACGUGCAAGUCGAACGAUGAAGCCCAGCUUGCUGGGUGGAUUAGUGGCGAACGGGUGAGUAACACGUGAGUAACCUGCCCUUAACUCUGGGAUAAGCCUGGGAAACUGGGUCUAAUACCGGAUAGGAGCGCCUACCGCAUGGUGGGUGUUGGAAAGAUUUAUCGGUUUUGGAUGGACUCGCGGCCUAUCAGCUUGUUGGUGAGGUAAUGGCUCACCAAGGCGACGACGGGUAGCCGGCCUGAGAGGGUGACCGGCCACACUGGGACUGAGACACGGCCCAGACUCCUACGGGGGCAGCAGUGGGGAAUAUUGCACAAUGGGCGAAAGCCUGAUGCAGCGACGCCGCGUGAGGGAUGACGGCCUUCGGGUUGUAAACCUCUUUCAGUAGGGAAGAAGCGAAAGUGACGGGACCUGCAGAAGAAGCACCGGCUAACUACG
rnacentral:rRNA from 1 species